rnacentral:rRNA from 1 species
UACAGAGGAUGCAAGCGUUAUCCGGAAUGAUUGGGCGUAAAGCGUCUGUAGGUGGCUUUUUAAGUCCGCCGUCAAAUCCCAGGGCUCAACUCUGGACAGGCGGUGGAAACUACCAAGCUGGAGUACGGUAGGGGCAGAGGGAAUUUCCGGUGGAGCGGUGAAAUGCGUAGAGAUCAGGAAGAACACCGGUGGCGAAAGCGCUCUGCUAGGCCGCAACUGACACUCAUGGACGAAAGCUAGGGGAGCGAAUGGG